UACGUAGGGUGCGAGCGUUAAUCGGAAUUACUGGGCGUAAAGCGUGCGCAGGCGGUUUUGUAAGCCGGAUGUGAAAUCCCCGGGCUUAACCUGGGAAUGGCAUUUGGGACUGCAAGGCUUGAGUGCGGCAGAGGAGACUGGAAUUCCCGGUGUAGCAGUGAAAUGCGUAGAUAUCGGGAGGAAUACCGAUGGCGAAGGCAGGUCUCUGGGCUGACACUGACGCUCAUGCACGAAAGCGUGGGGAGCAAACAGG
rnacentral:rRNA from 1 species